UCACAUGUAGUGCCGAGGUAACUAAAACUCUGCGUUUUGUUAGCUUCAGAGUUUUGUUACCCCGGCUCUCUGUGGA
rnacentral:pre_miRNA from 1 species